GUUCGCCGCCGCCGCUGCGCACCCAGCCCCAGGGGGGCGGGCUGGAGGGAGGGGGCGGGCGCCGGGCGCCGGCCCGGGGACCACCGCAGCCAUGGCGCGGCAGGGAGGGGGCUGCCGACCCGCUUCACCUGCCGCAGAAGGGGCGGCCGGCGCCGCUUCACCUGCCGGAGAGGGAGGCGACCUAGGCGAGGCCGAGGCGGCGGCGCGCUCGGCGGCGCCUCCGGGUCCUAGAACCGCACUCUCCCCAUCGCCUGGGGCGGAGGAUUGGCGGGGUGUGAGUGAAGGGGGUAGCGACCCGGGCCGGAGGGGCAACCCUCAGAGUGGAAGAUUGUCAGGAACUGCGAGCGCGGCUUGGAGACCCAUGGCGGUGCGGCGUUGGGGCAUAAGGGCUGCGUCCCCCUCUCGGGUCCCCGCCUGAGAAGGUGGGAACCCCCUUCCAGGCCCCCCACUUCUUGUUUCUCUGCUCCUCUGUUUAGCCCAGAGACGCGCUGAGGAUCAGAGGGAUACAUCUGCAAACAGGAACCCCAAAACAGGGUGGGAGGCGCGGACCCAAGCCAACGAGACCCACAUCACCUGGCCCAUCUCGACCAACUGUGCGCAUGUGCCGGCAUCCCAGUGGUUGUAGAAUGGGGGCACCCAUGGAAAAGGGCAGGCUGCGAGAAGCUGGGACCACCAGGCAAUCCCAAGGAGAAGCAGGGGGUUGAGGACGGGAGGAUUAAAGCCAGCCGCAAGGCUGGGAAAGGAGCAGGCACCGCAGAGGAGGGAAAAGAAAUCUCUUUGCCUGUGUAACCACCAGGGACCUAGGGUGGCCUCUCACCUUGGAGAAUAACAAUCUCUGAUGUCUGCUAAUAACAGAAAUGCUUUUUGCUCUGCUUUGAUUCAUCCUGACAAUGACCAGGGAAGAACCAUUGACAGGAGUUGAAUCGAGAGCUGGAAGUUAACUACCUCAUCUUGAAGAAGACCCCGAGAGAAGCCAGCCCCUGACCCCAGGCUGACCUGAUUUAAGCCUUUCUUCUGCCAAGGUCACCAGCAACCCAGCACCAACCCAGUACCUGGCACUCAUCAAAUGUUUGGUGAAUGAAAGAUCACUCCAUCACUUGGCCCCAUGCGGAAUGCGGCCUCUGAGAAAAGCACUUCUCACCACUCAAAACCCACCGAAGCGUGCCCAGCCCUGAGAGGGGCUUCUAAGAACGCCAAGCCAGCUGCCUCUGCAGCAUAAGCAGAGUUAACCACAUAAUGAGCAGGCUGAAGCGGAUUCAUAGGCUUUGAGGAUUGUUUUUGAGGAAGAGAAAUAGGUCCUACUUCCGUGGGAGGCUGAUUAUUCGUUUAACUCCAAUCAGAGCUGAUGGUUUGAAGCGUUGUGAAUGAUGCUGGCGGUGGCUGAGGCUGUGAGAAGCCCAUCUGGCCAUCACAUCAUCGCACACCUGUCUGCACAGCAGAUCUCUCACCCGUGCUGAUUCGCAUUAGAGCAAGGUCUCUACUGAGCACCACUGAUGAAGGCAGAGGUGUUACUAUCCUGAAUGGUGAUAAAAUGACGCAUCUCAUCACAAACGCCUUCUUUCAGACUUUUCAUUCAGACUGUCCUCAUGCAACCAGCCACUUCCCCAUCAGGUGGGCUGAAAUCAAUUAAACAAUUACUCAUUUAUCAAUAUAAUAUUUAAUAAAAAGCCAUUUGUGCCAGCCACUGUGUUAGACACCAGGGUGACAAAGAUGACAAAGAAGGUCCCCACCCUCAGGAUCUCGGAGUCAAGCUAACAGAUCAUUAGGAUUCUUUGUGAUUAGGACAAUGAUAGGGGGAAAAUAGAA